GCAGUCCGGCAGUAAGGGGGCGGGUGCUAAGGUCCGUCCCCGAGAGGAGAAGAAUCCAGACCGCCGUCUAAGGUCCCGGAGUUCUGCCUGAGUUAGUCUAACGAAGUCUGGUCCCUAUGACAGCUAGGAUGUUGGCUUGGAAGCAGCCAUCAUUCAAAGAGUGCGUAACAGCUCACUAGUCGAGGGUCCGGGCAUGGAUAAUAAUCGGGUAUAAGGCAGACACCGAAGGCGCGGGAUAGCAAUUAUAAAAGUAUCGGUAGGGGAGCAUACUCACAGCGUCGAAUGGUGUACGUAAGUUAUCCUGGAGCGGUGAGUAAAGCAAAUGUAGGAAUAAGUAACGAUAAGGAGGGUUAGAUUCCCUCCCGCUGUAAGACCAAGGUUUCCCGGGCAAUGCCAAUCAGCCCGGGGUCAGUCGGGUCCUAAGUCUAAGCCGAACGGCGAUGGCGAUGGCAGAGACGGUUAAUAUUCCGUCACUGCCGCAUGGGGCGACGUGGAGACGGAGCAGUGAAACCACCGCGGGGCGACGGAAGUCCCCGUUGAAGGGUGUAGG
rnacentral:rRNA from 1 species